rnacentral:tRNA from 1 species
GUGGGGAUAUAGCUCAGUUUGUAAAGUGUUUGCCUCACAUGUGCAAGAGGCCCUGGAUUCAAUCCCCAGCACCACA